rnacentral:tRNA from 1 species
GGCUCAGUUGGUAGAGCAUGGUGUGUGCAACACCAGGGUUGUGGGUUUGAUUCCCAC